AACAUUGAUCUAAAAUGUUCUAACAUUGAUCUAAAAUGUUCUAACAUUGAUCUAAAAUGUUCUAACAUUGAUCUAAAAUGUUCUAACAUUCGGCCAAUCAGAGGCUCGGAUUUUAGUUUGAAUCUUAGAGCGGUAGAAAAACAAAAUGGCGGAAAGUUGUGAUCCAUAAAAUUAUUCAUCUGAUUUUACGCUUUAUUUAUACGAAUAGAAUCGACAAAACUUCCUGGAGUUAUCGACAUCAAGCUUUUUUACUACCUCCGUGCCUCUGAAGACAUGCCUCCACCAAAGCCUACCUUCAGGUUCCGCCCGAAUGGGGGCCUGGAGUUUGCCGCCACACCUAGGGCCAAGGAUGUGGCCCAAUUGGUGAAAAAACAAAAAAAAGAACAAAAAUUUAGCCCAAAGCUGAGUAAAGAGGAGGUAGUUAUAAUUUACUUUUGGCAAUUUUAUCAGCAUUCUUGCAGUUAUUCGCAUCAUUGUCAUUGUCUGUUGAAUAACAAUUCCUUUAAAAUAGUAAAGCAAUUAAUUUAGUCCAAUUCAAAAUAA